rnacentral:tRNA from 1 species
GCGGGGGUUGCCAAGUUAGGUCAACGGCGCAGCGUUGAGGGCGCUGUCCCAUAGGGGUUCCGGGGUUCAAAUCCCCGCCCCCGCACCA